UGGCGGACGGGUGAGUAACGCGUGAGUAACCUGCCUUUCAGAGGGGGAUAACGUUCUGAAAAGAACGCUAAUACCGCAUAAGACUACAGAGUCACAUGGCUCAGUGGUCAAAGGAGCAAUCCGCUGGAAGAUGGACUCGCGUCCGAUUAGAUAGUAGGCGGGGUAACGGCCCACCUAGUCGACGAUCGGUAGCCGGACUGAGAGGUUGAACGGCCACAUUGGGACUGAGACACGGCCCAGACUCCUACGGGAGGCAGCAGUGAGGGAUAUUCGGCAAUGGGGGAAACCCUGACCGAGCAACGCCGCGUGAGGGAAGACGGUUUUCGGAUUGUAAACCUCUGUCCUCUGUGAAGAUAAUGACGGUAACAGAGGAGGAAGCUCCGGCUAACUACGUGCCAGCAGCCGCGGUAAUACGUAGGGAGCAAGCGUUGUCCGGAUUUACUGGGUGUAAAGGGUGCGUAGGCGGAUUGGCAAGUCAGAAGUGAAAUCCAUGGGCUUAACUCAUGAACUGCUUUUGAAACUGUUAGUCUUGAGUGAAGUAGAGGUAGGCGGAAUUCCCGGUGUAGCGGUGAAAUGCGUAGAGAUCGGGAGGAACACCA
rnacentral:rRNA from 1 species